rfam:Schistosoma margrebowiei strain Zambia genome assembly, scaffold: SMRZ_scaffold0001087
AUCCGGCUGACGAGUCCCAAAUGGGACGAAACAUGAGUCAAACUGGAU